UGCGGGGUAGAGCAGUGGUAGCUCGUCGGGCUCAUAACCCGGAGGUCGUUGGUUCGUGUCCAGCCUCCGCUA
rnacentral:tRNA from 1 species